CCUACGGGUUGCAGCAGUGGGGAAUAUUGAACAAUGGGCGAAAGCCUGGUCCAGCAAUGCCGCGGGUGUGAAGAAGGUCUUCGGAUUGUAAAGCACUUUCGACGGGGACGAUGAUGACGGUACCCGUAGAAGAAGCUCCGGCUAACUUCGUGCCAGCAGCCGCGGUAAUACGAAGGGGGCUAGCGUUGCUCGGAAUGACUGGGCGUAAAGGGCGCGUAGGCGGUUUAUGUAGUCAGAUGUGAAAUCCCCGGGCUAAACCUGGGAACUGCAUUUGAGACGCAUAGACUAGAGGUCGAGAGAGGGUUGUGGAAUUCCCAGUGUAGAGGUGAAAUUCGUAGAUAUUGGGAAGAACACCGGUGGCGAAGGCGGCAACCUGGCUCGAUACUGACGCUGAGGCGCGAAAGCGUGGGGAGCAAACAGGAUUAGAUACCCCCGUAGUC
rnacentral:rRNA from 1 species